GCAUAUUGAUUGAUGACCUUGUCAAAGGUGGAAAGAUACAGGAAGCAAAGAUUAUAUUUAAUGAAAUGAAAGAAAAAGAAGUCAAAUCUGGUAUGGGAUGUAGCUGGAUAACAGAUUAAACUAUCUCUCUUUUCUAGAUGUAGUUGAAGUGGACCUAUUGUAUUUGUUUAUAGAUAAGAGGUGAGACCCCCAUAUUUGAAUGAACUGUUGUGGGCUGUAAAAAAGCAGGGGAAGACAGGCUCACAGGUGCCAUCCGUGGAUCUCAACCAAGUGCAGAUUUCGAAGACAUGAGCUGCGAGAUGAUAUACGGCCAGGUGCCGCCUCCAUUGGAAGAGGACCCAGCGUCGAAGCAAGCUUGCUACCUGAGCCUCUGUUCCAUGUCGACGCCGUCUGCCCCGGCCUGUCCCAAGCUUCAGUAGGUACAUAUAUGCAUGCACAGAGUUUUCCGGUCGGACUUGGUAUGGAAUAAGUAUCAUUUGUUUUUUUAUACAGAAAUGUAGCUUGUAAACUAUUAGUAAAGUUAAAUACAAGUUUUGUUCUGAACCAGGACAUAGCACUCUGUAACAAAUUCGUCGCAUUUUCGUUCCUUCCGCUGAUCAAAUGCCUUCGUUCCCAGUGGUUCUUGUAGAGCGGUUGUGUCGUCCGAGCGUUGAUCUGAACCAGCGCAGUUUAUCAGGGACGUAGCAGUGAGUUGGUGAGCUCUCUCGGCUCAUAGAAGCCCUACCUUUUCUGAUUUUCUUCGAGCAUGGGCUGAAAUGUCAACUAUUGGGCCAAAGGUUAUAGAGAACUCAUAGAUUUGAUGGCUAAACAUAAAAGCGACUUAGAAGGAUUCAAGUUAGAUGUAUACGGAAGUGGUGAGGACUCGCAAUAAGUUCAAUCCACUGUCAUGAGGUUAGAUUUGAGUCUCAAUUUUUUCAAGGGAAGGGAUCAUGCUGAUAAUUCACUCCAUGGGUACAAAGUUUUCAAAAAUCCGAGCAUUAGUGAUGUCCCGUGCACAACAACAGCAGAGGCUCUUGCAAUGGGGAAAUUCGUGACCUGCGCAGAACAUCCAUCAAAUGAGUUUUUACGCAGUUUAUCAGGGACGUAGCAGUGAGUUGGUGAGCUCUCUCGGCUCAUAGAAGUCCUACUUUUUUUUCUGAUUUUCUUCUAGCACAGGCUGAAAUGUCAA